GACAAGGGGAAAGAGGGUAAGAGCAAGAGAGCAAGGGCAAGAGAGAGCAAGCAAUGCAGGGUUUUCUCACAGAAUCUGGGCAGAUUUCAAUCCGACAGAUCAUUUGAGGUUUAACAAUCCAAUGUAAGGGCUGGGUAUGGUGGUGCAUGCCUUUAACCCCAGCACUUGAGAGGCAGAUCUCUGAGUUAAAGGCCAGCCUGGUCUACAAGGUGAGUUUCAGGAGAACCAAGACUUUGCAAAGAAACCCUGUACCGCAAAACAACAAAAAGGACCCGGGCCGGACCGCAGGGUGGGUUUUGGAAGCAAUGCAGCCGAGAAGACACAGUGAAGUGGCAUGGAGGGAGAUGCGAGGUCCCGAGUCAGCAGCUGCUGCUCCUGGCUCUCACAGGGUUAACUGUACAGGCCAGAGCCCUCCUCGACAGUGUGCACUCCUCAGUGGACCUCCACAACACCAAGUGGAUGCACACAGCCUCUGUGUCCUCCCUUCCCCUGUCGAACAAUUGAAGUUGAUUUUGCUCACGGUUCUAGGGGCUCAGAGGUUCAGGAGUGUGGUGCUUGCACCUGAAGGCCUUUUAAAAAAAAAAAAAAAAGUCUAUUUUUUUCAGCCAAGUACUGGUACAAGACUAGACUCAGCACUAGAGAGGCUGAGGCAAGUGGAGGUCUGUGAGUUCAAGGCCAGCUUGCUCUAUGUAGUAAGUUCCAGGACAGCCAGAGCUACAUAGGGAGACCCUUUCUUGAAUGCCCCCCCCAAUUUAAAAAAGUUUUUUUUCUAUGA
rnacentral:lncRNA from 1 species